rnacentral:rRNA from 1 species
UGGGUAACCUGCCUCAAAGAGGGGAAUAGCCUCCCGAAAGGGAGAUUAAUACCGCAUAAUAUGUUUAAGUCGCAUGACUUUAACAUCAAAGGAUUUUCUUUUAGAACUUCCACUUUGAGAUGGACCCGCGGCGCAUUAGCUAGUUGGUGAGGUAACGGCUCACCAAGGCAACGAUGCGUAGCCGACCUGAGAGGGUGAUCGGCCACAUUGGAACUGAGGCACGGUCCAGACUCCGUAGGAG